AGUUAACGUUGGCGGCGUGCCUAACACAUGCAAGUCGAACGCGUCCUAAGGGCAACUUUAGGAUGAGUGGCGAACGGGUGAGUAUCACGUGGGUAAUCUUCCUUUAAGUGGGGAAUAAGCUCUCGAAAGGGAGUCUAAUACCGCAUGACAUUCCGGGACACAAGUCCCGUAAUCAAAGCCGCAAGGCGCUUGAAGAUGAGCCUGCGUCCUAUUAGCUAGUUGGUGGGGUAACGGCCUACCAAGGCUCAGAUGGGUAGCCGGCCUGAGAGGGUGAACGGCCACACUGGGACUGAGACACGGCCCAGACUCCUACGGGAGGCAGCAGUGAGGAAUUUUGCGCAAUGGGGGAAACCCUGACGCAGCGACGCCGCGUGGAGGAUGAAGGCCUUCGGGUCGUAAACGUACCUCGUCAGAGGUGAAGAAUAGCCGCAAGGGUUGACGGGUAACCUCAGAGGAAGACCCGGCCGUAACUACGUGCCAGCAGCCGCGGUAAAAGUACAACGUCG
rnacentral:rRNA from 1 species